rnacentral:rRNA from 1 species
AUGGGUAUCUCCGGUGCUGUGCAAUGGUGGGAGGAGUGGCAGCUGCGUGUCCUCGUCCUGGGCAGCCUCUUGGUUCAGUGGCUCCUCUUCCUCUCUGCUGCCCACCGUAAGCAUGCUAUCCCUUCCUGGUUCAGAUCAAUAAUAUGGCUUGCGUACCUAGGCAGCGAUGCUCUGGCAAUAUACGCCCUUGCCAUCCUUUUCGGACGCCAGAGGAGGCAAGAUUGUAGCUCUGGGCAGGGCAAUAGUAUCCUGGAGGUGGUGUGGGCGCCGGUUCUCCUGACACACCUCGGUGGACAGGACUGUAUAACUGCGUACAACAUUGAGGACAAGGAGCUAUGGACACGGCACGUCGUCACGGCCGUGUCCCAGAUCACGGUAGCCAUCUACGUGUUCUGCAAAUCAUGGCCAGGCGGCGACAAGAGGUUGUUGCAGGCAGCGAUCUUGUUCUUUGUCCCCGGGAUCCUCAAAUGCAUAGAGAAGCCCUGGGCUCUCAAGAGCGCUAGCAUUAACAGUCUAGUCAGCCCUGCUCCGAGGAGGACCACAUACAGAGAAAGCAGGAUCAACUCGCUUGAAGACUACGUGCAAAAGGCAAGGGCUUUUGUCCAGACCAACCCUCAUUGUCAAGCACAAGAAAGUGAUGGAGUUUACCUUCAGACUGACACUCAUGUGCCUCAAGCACAAGGAGAAGAUGAAGCGGUGGACCUCGAGGCCGAUCAUCAACCUGGAGCACAAGGAGAAGCUGCUGUGAUGGAUCUUGAGUCUGACACCCACCCUCAGACAUCAAACACAUGGAGAAGUGUCCUAAAAAAUGUAAAACUGGGAAGCCUGGGAAACCAAGAAAGGGAACAAAGAAGCCGACUUGAUGACUAUAAUAUGGACCUUGGGGCCUAUAAGCUAUUUCUGGACCUUGCAUCACCGUAUUCUGAUCGAGUUGGUAUCCUGAAAUCCUUCUGGGUUCUCGAGGGAAAACAAGCAUAUGCUUUGUUGCAAAAUAAACUAUUUGGAGCAUUUGAUCUUCUCUACACUAAAAGAAAGAUGUUCAUCUUAUGGGAUGAAAGAAGCAAGGUAAACGUAAGUAUCUUGGGGCUUCUUUCUAGCUGGUUACGGGUUUCAGCUCUGUUUCUGCCAUGGGCAGCCAUCGGCCUCUUCCACAAUAGUCACAGUGAAGCUUAUAAUGCUGACGAUGUCAAGGUUACAUAUGCCUUAUUCUACUGUACAGCUGUGCUGGAGUUUUACAGUAUUUCUUUGAUGAGAGAAAGUAUUGCAAAGGGUCAAGUGAAAUUCAGUUUGGGAUCUCUGGUUGCUGGCCUAUAUGAACACGCAAAAACAACUGGCCUUAUUGGUAGUCUACUAAGUGCCCUGAGUAAUGAGGUACUGAAAACUAGCUUUGUAGGCCAAUAUACACUGGUAGGAUUCUUUGCUCGCAACAAAAGGCACAUCAAGAAGAUGUGCAUCAUGAACUUCUUCAAUUGCAAGGACUUUCUUGACCAACAUUGGUCCAUGAAGCCCUGCGACACAUCUUUUGCCAUUACAGAGUUGGUUCUUAAGUAUGUGAAGAAUGGGUGGGAAGAUCAAAUGAAGGAUGUUGACAGUUAUUGGAAGUUCAAUGACCGCAGAGGCCUAUGGACACUUCAGGCCAACAAGUGCGAGCAAGACCUCGGUUGCAGCAUAAGGAGGCCAUUCGACGAGAGCAUCCUUCUCUGGCACAUCGCCACGGAUUUCUGCUUCUACUUCAUGGGAGCAUCAGCAGAUCACCAGUGCGCCACUGCUCAAUGUAUUCAGGAUGCAUCUGGCGAUGGCCAUGGGUGUGCUGUUUGGUGUGAAAGAUCUCCUCAUCACAAAAGAGCCAUCCGGUGCAGGGAAAUGUCCAAUUACAUGAUAUAUCUACUGUUUGUCAAUCCUGAGAUGUUACUGGCCGGCACCAGAAGACAUCUUUUUAUGACCGCUAAUGCUGAAGUUGAGGAGAUCCUCAUGGAUGAGAAGCCAUCGCUCAAGAAGAUUUUCAAGGCCAAAAAACCAUGGCUCAAGGACAUCCUGAAAGGAGAAAAGCAAUGGCUUAAAGACAUCCUGACGGAAGAAAAGCAACGGCCGAAGGACAUCUCGAGGAGCGAAGAUUCAGUUACAUGGAAGGUUCUCAAGGGCGUGUCGAAGUGGAUCCUCAGGAGCAAAGGCUCACUUUGUUGGAAGGUUGGCAACGGCAUGUCCAAGGAGAUCCUCAAGGCCGAAAGGGAAUGGCUUGAGAAGAUCGAAAGAGAACUUGUGCAGAUAAUAAUCUCCAGGCUGCAGCUCACAGAAUGCAGAGAAGUUGCUGAAUGCACAGAAUUUUCGCCGGAUGCAGAGAUAUAUCCAACUACACAAUUCAUCCAAGAUGCAUGGAAGCUCGCUAAAGCGUUGUUGGAUCUAGGUGAUGACAACAAGAUGUGGGAGGUUAUUGAAGGCGUGUGGGUGGAGAUGCUCUGCUUCUCUGCAAGUAGGAGCCGUGGGUAUCUACAUGCCAAGAGUUUGGGCACCGGCGUGGAGCUGCUCACGUAUGUGUGGCUGCUGCUGUCGUGCAUGGGGAUGGAGACCUUGCCUGAGAGGCUGCAGAGGACAGAGCUUUCAAGUGGAGAAAUGAACGCGUCGACUUCACAGGUCAGCACUGCCAGUAUUAAAGCCGUUGUUUGA